rnacentral:rRNA from 1 species
AACGAACGCUGGCGGCAGGCCUAACACAUGCAAGUCGAACGCACCGCAAGGUGAGUGGCGCACGGGUGAGUAACACGUGGGAAUGUACCCUUUGGUUCGGAAUAACGUUUGGAAACGAACGCUAAUACCGGAUGAGCCCUACGGGGGAAAGAUUUAUCGCCAAAGGAGCAGCCCGCGUCUGAUUAGCUAGUUGGUGGGGUAAAGGCCUACCAAGGCGACGAUCAGUAGCUGGUCUGAGAGGAUGAUCAGCCACACUGGGACUGAGACACGGCCCAGACUCCUACGGGAGGCAGCAGUGGGGAAUAUUGGACAAUGGGCGGAAGCCUGAUCCAGCCAUGCCGCGUGAGUGAUGAGGGCCUUCGGGUUGUAAAGCUCUUUCGCACGCGACGAUGAUGACGGUAGCGUGAGAAGAAGCCCCGGCUAACUUCGUGCCAGCCGCCGCGGUAAUAC